GGAAGACAGGAGCUCCUGGCCUCCAAGGACCUGUAGGGACGAGCGGAGAAGCUGGCAGCAGAGGAUCGAAGGGGACACCAGGAAAGCAAGGACAGAGAGGGGUUAAAGGUAAAGAAGGACCAGGAGGGCUUCAAGGAAGUGAAGGCUUAAAGGUAUCC